rnacentral:rRNA from 1 species
AGAGUUUGAUCCUGGCUCAGAGUGAACGCUGGCGGCAGGCCUAACACAUGCAAGUCGAGCGGCAGCGGGUCCUUCGGGAUGCCGGCGAGCGGCGGACGGGUGAGGAAUGCAUCGGAAUCUGCCUCUUUGUGGGGGAUAACGUAGGGAAACUUACGCUAAUACCGCAUACGUCCUACGGGAGAAAGUGGGGGACCGCAAGGCCUCACGCAGAGAGAUGAGCCGAUGCCGGAUUAGCUAGUUGGCGGGGUAAAGGCCCACCAAGGCGACGAUCCGUAGCUGGUCUGAGAGGAUGAUCAGCCACACUGGAACUGAGACACGGUCCAGACUCCUACGGGAGGCAGCAGUGGGGAAUAUUGGACAAUGGGCGCAAGCCUGAUCCAGCCAUGCCGCGUGAGUGAAGAAGGCCUUCGGGUUGUAAAGCUCUUUUGUUGGGGAAGAAAUCCUGUCGGCUAAUACCCGGCGGGGCUGACGGUACCCAAAGAAUAAGCACCGGCUAACUUCGUGCCAGCAGCCGCGGUAAUACGAAGGGUGCAAGCGUUACUCGGAAUUACUGGGCGUAAAGCGUGCGUAGGUGGUUCGUUAAGUCUGAUGUGAAAGCCCUGGGCUCAACCUGGGAACUGCAUUGGAUACUGGCGAUCUGGAGUGCGGUAGAGGGGUGCGGAAUUCCCGGUGUAGCAGUGAAAUGCGUAGAUAUCGGGAGGAACAUCCGUGGCGAAGGCGGCA